rnacentral:lncRNA from 1 species
AAAGGUUUGAGACAGGGUCUCACUCUGUCACCCAGGCUGGAGUACAGUGGCUCGACCUCAGCUCACUACAACCUCUGCCUCCUGGGCUCAAUCAAUCUUCCCACAUCAGCCUCGUAGGCUCCAGAGAGAGACAAGGAGAUGAGGAGACAAGCAGACGAACAGCGGAACAAUGCAGCAGAGAAAGAGAGAAGAGAAGGAACGUCUGAACGUCGAGAGGAGUUCGGCUGCUGGACGGCCAAACUCCAGGGGAAGAUCAUCUUCCCACUCCAUUCCCCCUCCAGCUCCCCAUCCAUCCCACUGAGAGCCACUUCCACCACUCAAUAAAAGCCCCACAUUUAUCCUUCA